AAUGGGCGCAAGCCUGAUCUAGCCAUACCGCGUGAGUGAUGAAGGCCUUAGGGUCGUAAAGCUCUUUCGCCAGGGAAGAUAAUGACUGUACCUGGUAAAGAAGUCCCGGCUAACUCCGUGCCAGCAGCCGCGGUAAUACGGAGGGGACUAGCGUUGUUCGGAAUUACUGGGCGUAAAGCGCACGUAGGCGGACCAGAAAGUAUGGGGUGAAAUCCCAGGGCUCAACCCUGGAACUGCCUCAUAAACUCCUGGUCUAGAGUUCGAGAGAGGUGAGUGGAAUUCCGAGUGUAGAGGUGAAAUUCGUAGAUAUUCGGAGGAACACCAGUGGCGAAGGCGGCUCACUGGCUCGAUACUGACGCUGAGGUGCGAAAGCGUGGGGAGCAAACAGGAUU
rnacentral:rRNA from 1 species